rnacentral:rRNA from 1 species
GGCCGCGGGAAUUCGAUUCAGGCCUAACACAUGCAAGUCGAGCGGUAACAGGGGGUCUCACCGUUCCGUUGACACACCUAGCGCGAAUAUCGUAGGUUGAUGACUUCGAGGGAACAGUGAGACUCUGCUGACGAGCGGCGGACGGCUGAGUAACGCGUGGGAACAGACCCCAAACUGAGGGAUAACGCACCGAAAGGUGUGCUAAUACCGCAUACGCUCUUCGGAGUAAAGGAUUUAUCCGGUUUGGGACUGGCCUGCGUACGAUUAGAUAGUUGGUAGGGUAAUGGCCUACCAAGUCGACGAUCGUUAGAUGGUUUGAGAAGAUGAUCAUCCAGACUGGGACUGAGACACGGCCCAGACUCCUACGGGAGGCAGCAGUAGGGAAUCUUUCAAGAGGGGCGAAAGCCUGAUGGAGCAA